rnacentral:rRNA from 1 species
UGGGGAAUAUUGCGCAAUGGGGGGAACCCUGACGCAGCCAUGCCGCGUGAAUGAAGAAGGCCUUCGGGUUGUAAAGUUCUUUCGGUAUUGAGGAAGGUUGAUGUGUUAAUAGUACAUCAAAUUGACGUUAAAUACAGAAGAAGCACCGGCUAGCUCCGUGCCAGCAGCCGCGGUAAUACGGAGGGUGCGAGCGUUAAUCGGAAUAACUGGGCGUAAAGGGCACGCAGGCGGUUAUUUAAGUGAGGUGUGAAAGCCCUGGGCUUAACCUAGGAAUUGCAUUUCAGACUGGGUAACUAGAGUACUUUAGGGAGGGGUAGAAUUCCACGUGUAGCGGUGAAAUGCGUAGAGAUGUGGAGGAAUACCGAAGGCGAAGGCAGCCCCUUGGGAAUGUACUGACGCUCAUGUGCGAAAGCGUGGGGAGCAAACAGGAUUAGAUACCCUGGUAGUCCACGCUGUAAACGCUGUCGAUUUGGGGGUUGGGGUUUAACUCUGGCGCCCGUAGCUAACGUGAUAAAUCGACCGCCUGGGGAGUACGGCCGCAAGGUUA